rnacentral:lncRNA from 1 species
UCUAUUAGAAACUAACUCAAGUGUUCCAUCAUAAUGCCUUUUAGAUCAAAUAUUGUCCUUAACCAGUUUCAAAAUAACUCAAACCACCACACUUUCGCUGCGCACUCUGAUUUAAUUCAUUAAAUACUCUAAAGCCUCUAAAGAUUUAGGACCAAAAUAUCACUUUGCAUUAGGAGUAGGAAAAUUCAAAUUUCAAAACUUUAAUUGAGCAGAACCUCCAGAUCUCUCUGUCCUCAAUUUAUGUAGAGUAUACUAACCAUAACUAACCUUCAAGGCAUUAAUCAAGUUUAACGUCACUACAUAAUCUUCACAACCAUUUUAAGAUCCAAAAUAUCUAGGUUUAAUUUAAAAUAAGUUAACCUUGGAUUUUCUCAGCAAUUCAAUUAGACAAUCUAUAUUGAUUUUCUUUCCAAAAAGAUUUACUUCAAUUUCAAUGGGUUAGAAGUCAUUGAGCCAAUAUUACUAUGAAUAGAAUUAACUCCAUUAUCUUCCAAAUCUUUCUUCACUAAGAUUCUUAAUGUUUAACAUCAAUGCUACAUGUGAUAACUCAUAUAAGCAUCUCAAAAUCGAAAUCUCAACUCAAUAUUGUAUUUUACAAAGAUUCCUGGUUAGAUCAUAAAUCUAGACUUGCGUUCAAGUUAACACAUCCAAUAGUCUCCAACAACUAUGAAAAAAAAAAAAAAAAAAN